rnacentral:rRNA from 1 species
AGCGAACGCUGGCGGCAGGCCUAACCCAUGCAAGUCGAACGGACCUUUCGGGGUUAGUGGCGGACGGGUGAGUAACACGUGGGAACGUGCCUUUAGGUUCGGAAUAGCUCCUGGAAACGGGUGGUAAUGCCGAAUGUGCCCUUAGGGGGAAAGAUUAUCGCCUUUAGAGCGGCCCGCGUCUGAUUAGCUAGUUGGUGAGGUAAUGGCUCACCAAGGCUACGAUCAGUAGCUGGUCUGAGAGGAUGACCAGCCACAUUGGGACUGAGACACGGCCCAAACUCCUACGGGAGGCAGCAGUGGGGAAUCUUGCGCAAUGGUCGAAAGCCUGACGCAGCCAUGCCGCGUGGAUGAUGAAGGUCUUAGGAUUGUAAAAUCCUUUCACCGGUGAAGAUAAUGACUGUAGCCGGAGAAGAAGCCCCGGCUAACUUCGUGCCAGCCGCCGCAGUAA